CUGGCGGCAGGCUUAACACAUGCAAGUCGAGCGCCCCGCAAGGGGAGCGGCAGACGGGUGAGUAACGCGUGGGAACGUACCCUUUACUACGGAAUAACGCAGGGAAACUUGUGCUAAUACCGUAUGUGCCCUUCGGGGGAAAGAUUUAUCGGUAAAGGAUCGGCCCGCGUUGGAUUAGCUAGUUGGUGGGGUAAAGGCCUACCAAGGCGACGAUCCAUAGCUGGUCUGAGAGGAUGAUCAGCCACAUUGGGACUGAGACACGGCCCAAACUCCUACGGGAGGCAGCAGUGGGGAAUAUUGGACAAUGGGCGCAAGCCUGAUCCAGCCAUGCCGCGUGAGUGAUGAAGGCCCUAGGGUUGUAAAGCUCUUUCACCGGAGAAGAUAAUGACGGUAUCCGGAGAAGAAGCCCCGGCUAACUUCGUGCCAGCAGCCGCGGUAAUACGAAGGGGGCUAGCGUUGUUCGGAAUUACUGGGCGUAAAGCGCACGUAGGCGGAUCGAUCAGUCAGGGGUGAAAUCCCAGGGCUCAACCCUGGAACUGCCUUUGAUACUGUCGAUCUGGAGUAUGGAAGAGGUGAGUGGAAUUCCGAGUGUAGAGGUGAAAUUCGUAGAUAUUCGGAGGAACACCAGUGGCGAAGGCGGCUCACUGGUCCAUUACUGACGCUGAGGUGCGAAAGCGUGGGGAGCAAACAGG
rnacentral:rRNA from 1 species